rnacentral:rRNA from 1 species
UGUCCCUACGGGAGGCAGCAGUAGGGAAUUUUCGUCAAUGGGCGCAAGCCUGAACGAGCAAUGCCGCGUGAACGAGGAAGGUCUUCGGAUCGUAAAGUUCUGUUGAAGGGGAAAAAGAGCGGAGAGAGGAAAUGGUCUCCGAUUGAUAUUACCCUUCGAGGAAGUCACGGCUAACUACGCGCCAGCAGCCGCGGUAAUACGUAGGGGGCAAGCGUUAUCCGGAUUUACUGGGUGUAAAGGGAGCGUAGACGGCAUAGCAAGUCUGAUGUGAAAGGUCGGGGCGCAAGCCCGGGCCUGCAUUGGAA